GGAGAGGAGCCCUGGUUGAGAAGCAACAACAACAACGCUGCUGUGAAGAGCUGCUGUGAGAAAACCACCCAGAAGAAGGACUCUGGUCUACCAAAAUGUGAAUUUAUUAAAGCAUUAGCUCAGAAACUGCUCUCAGGGAGAUAAGGAUGCAAAGCCAAGACAUGAAGAAAAGUAACCUGUGCUGAAAGACAUAAACCCGCAAUUGCACGAGGAAAUCCACUCUGGUAUCCUAUAGCUAAUAAAGUUGCUAUGGAAUCUUUGCAGAAUUGUACACCGUGGUGUUCGGGUCACUGGAGCUGCUGCCCCACAUGGGUCCGUCAUCUCAAAGAGCUAUUGUAUUCACUUGACAUCUGUGAAUGGCAGAGAGAAAUGAGAUGAAGAUAGAUUUAUUUCACUCUGAUUUUAUUUCUCCUAUUUUCUUGCUGAAGUAGUACCUUAACGGCAGAGCUCCGACUGGAAGGAAAUGCGAUAUCAAAAAACAGAAAUGCAGAAAUUGAAAAGCAAACCGGUGCUUCUUUAUGCUGAGCUCUGGUUCAGUUUAGGAAACAACUUGGAAUAUAGCAAAUCAUUGUCCGUGCAUCUCUCCUAAUAACCCUAAUUAUGAAAUAAAAUCUAAAGCCCACUCAAACAGGGAGAAAAUUUGGAUCAGAGUCCAAAUUUCAGAACAUAGAUCCUUUCAGAGAUGCAGUAAUAUUCAACACAUUCUGUGGGAUGAAUAAAAAUGUCUCAAACAUCUGGCUGAUACUCAAGAUCAUGAAUUAAGAACCUGGGUAAACUCUAGUUUGCCAAUAUUAAACCAAGAAAAUAUUAUUUACCUCUGUGUAUCCUACAUCAUGCUAUUGCAUCCCCAGAAAUUAGGGAGACCAGUAAAGAGAAUGGAAAUGGUUGGUUCUGUAUCUUUUCUCCUUGUUUCAAAGGCUCUGAAAAGCUCAUAAUUCAACCAAAUUUGUCUCUAACUCAAAUUACUAGCCUUCUUUCCAUAUUUAAAGAGUUUAUACUUGUUUCUUUGAUAUAGUUCCUCUGAGGAUCUGCCAAGUUCCUAAGUUCUUUGACCUUAGAUGUCUUUUUCUCCAUCUGUAAUUCUGAAUGUGUUUAUUUUACAAGUGAAACCAAAUUCUUAAUUGAUCUAAGGAAAGUCAAUCUUUUAGAUUAAACAAGUGCUCAGCUGUGCAUAUAGGAAUAGUGGUAGAUAUGAAUCAAAACAUCAGCAUCAACCAUCAAAUGCAGGCCAGAUAUCAGCAUAGCUGAUGUAUAGUGAAUCCAUGCUAUAUUCCUAACUAAGACCAUGAGAAACAAUAAAACCACACAGUACAAACACAGAAACUUAAAUCAUGCUUCUUGAAAAGUUUGCCAAGGUCCAUGAAUCUUUUGAACUAACCUGGGCCUGUUUUGAAACAAACACAAAACAUGAUUUUGUAUUGAAACCAUGUGAGACUCAGAGAUUUUUGUUAUUUCAGGUUCAUUUUAACUUUAAACUUGAAGCUGACUAUAAAGAGUGGAACACAAAAGUUACCCAGAUGAAGAAAAU